rnacentral:rRNA from 1 species
AAGAGCUCGUAGGCGGUUUGUCGCGUCUGCUGUGAAAAUACCGAGGCUCAACCUCGGACCUGCAGUGGGUACGGGCAGACUAGAGUGCGGUAGGGGAGAAGGGAAUUCCUGGUGUAGCGGUGGAAUGCGCAGAUAUCAGGAGGAACACCGAUGGCGAAGGCACUUCUCUGGGCCGUAACUGACGCUGAGGAGCGAAAGCGUGGGGAGCAAACAGGAUUAGAUACCCCAGU